AGAGCGAACGCUGGCGGCAGGCUUAACACAUGCAAGUCGAGCGGGCGUAGCAAUACGUCAGCGGCAGACGGGUGAGUAACGCGUGGGAACAUACCUUUUGGUUCGGAACAACACAGGGAAACUUGUGCUAAUACCGGAUAAGCCCUUACGGGGAAAGAUUUAUCGCCGAAAGAUUGGCCCGCGUCUGAUUAGCUAGUUGGUGAGGUAACGGCUCACCAAGGCGACGAUCAGUAGCUGGUCUGAGAGGAUGAUCAGCCACAUUGGGACUGAGACACGGCCCAAACUCCUACGGGAGGCAGCAGUGGGGAAUAUUGGACAAUGGGCGCAAGCCUGAUCCAGCCAUGCCGCGUGAGUGAUGAAGGCCCUAGGGUUGUAAAGCUCUUUUGUGCGGGAAGAUAAUGACGGUACCGCAAGAAUAAGCCCGGCUAACUUCGCGCCAGCAGCCGC
rnacentral:rRNA from 1 species